UUGAUAUGAAGCACAAAAGUAACUAUGAUUUGUGCUUCCAAUAAAAAAACUCCCAUCCUCCAACUCCCAACCCCCAACCCCUUCUUCCUUUCCCCUCUUUGUUGUCUCCCUAGAAAAUUGCAUUAAAAGCUCCACCCCUCCAUCGAUUCAACUGUCUAUACCCUAUUAAUAUAAGAUUUGGAAUGGUAUAUGGAAUGUAGCAAUCAUUUAGGAGGGUUUCAUUGUACUGUCGUCUAACUGAAGAGAUUAACUUCAACGACAUAUUUUUAAGUUUUUAAGUCUUAUAAACAUAUAUAAAUAUGCAGAAUUUAAAUUUGGAGGCAUAAAUGUGAAAAUUACUUUUUUUUAUUGGCAUUAAUACUCUUUUAAGUGAUUUAUCAUGAUUGUAGGAAUUUUAAGAUACAUUGGACUCUUUUUAAGUUCAAAUUAAAAUACGAUAAAUACGAUUUUUAAUGAUUAAUUUAAAGUUGUUUUGGGUGGAUGUUACCAAAGGGAUAUUUAUAGAGAACAUAUAUGCAAAAUUAAGAUUCAGAGGAGCAGAUACGUUAGUUCCGAACUCUGAAAGGACAAAUAGGUAAAAGAGGUCCUUUUCCGUAAUUAAAUUCGGUCCCACCACCACCACCAUGUUAUUAGGUGGCGGAAGCCAACAAUUUUGAAGGCAGUUUCAUCAGCCCACCAAACAACUGAUCAGAUUUCGCCGCAGCCGUCCGAUCUCGGAAUUCAAAGUGAAGCACCAUGCUCACUUGCCUUGUUUCGUAACACCUUCCCCACUCUCUCUCUCUCUCUCUCUCGAUCGACGCCACCUCGCCCUCUUCGCCUCUCAUGUCUCGCACCGCCUACGACGAAGGCGUCGCGCCAGCGAACGUCCAGCUCGCCAACGGGGAGCAUGCCCGCCGGACGCGGGAGGGCGGCUGCUGGAGGUCCGAUCCACCUGGCCUCCGUCGGGUGCCUGAGGAGUGGAGGCGGCUCCGACGGUGCCUCGAGGCCGCAGCCAAAGGUUUCGCUAUAGGCGCCGGCCUGAAGGGAGGACUCGCGUUAUUCUCGGUUCUUGUGCGACUGAGGAGCCGCAGAUCCUUGAGGUCUUCCGCCAGAAAGGCGGGGGUUUUCACGAAUAAGGAGGCUGUGGUUGUGGCGUUGGAGGAGACGUUGAGAUAUGGGAUGUUUCUGGGAACCCUUGCAGGAACAUAUGUUUCGGUGGACGAAGUUAUUGCUGCAUUAGGUGGGCACAAGAGAACUGCAAGAUGGAGGUCGUUACUAGCAGGGUUGAUUGCUGGUCCAUCAAUGCUCUUGACCGGACCAAAUAAACAACACACUAGCUUGGCUAUAUACAUUCUUAUGCGUGCUGCGGUAUUGGCAUCACGUUGUGGGAUAAAGAGCAAACUAUUUGGUGGUGUUUGUAGACCAUUGACUUGGUCACAUGGUGACAUAUUUCUUAUGUGUCUCGCCUCUUCACAGAUCUUGCCUGCUUACAUUCUGAAGCAAGACAGCUUGCCAUCAUCAUACAAGUCAUUUCUUCAUAAGCAUGGUGGAAAGGAUGCUGUUAUUCUGCAAAGUAUGAGAGAAAUUGCAUCCAAUAUUUGUUUUUCUAAUUUAGAUGGGGUUAAGAAGUAUUACAAGUCCAUCGGUGUUGAUGUGAAGCUAGAUCCUAAUAUGAAUGUCCCAUGCUCGAUUGUGCAUGGCAAUCAAUCUUGUUUUGAGCAUUUCAUAACUUUCCUUUUCCAAGAAUAUGGAAGAGCACUACCAGUUUAUCUUCCAGUCUACUUGGUUCCUGCACUGGUAGUUCAUCGUCAGGGUCUUUGGAAAAGGCCUUACACAAUCUUGGGGAAGAGUCUUCUGGGGACUGCAAGAUCUAGCUUGUUCCUCUCUGUAUAUUGUGCAUCGGCCUGGGCUUGGACUUGCCUGCUUUUUCGACUUUUUAAAAGAUGUAACAUUCCGAUGGUCGUGAUUGGCACAUUCCCUACUGGCCUGGCAUUGCUAAUUGAGAAGAAGAGCAGAAGGACCGAGAUUUCUUUGUAUUGCCUUGCCCGAGCAAUCGAAAGCUUCUGCACAUGCUUGGCAGAUGCUGGAGUGUUCCCUCAAGCAUCAAAGCUAAAGCGAGCUGAUGUGAUCGUAUUCAGCUUUGCAACAGCCAUCAUCAUGCACUGCUAUGCACAAGAAAGAGAGGUGUUCCGGUCAAAGUAUUUGAAUGUGCUCGACUGGGUCUUUGGUGUCCCCCCACCAUAUGAUGAUGAACAUUGCAAGAAAUCCUAAAUUAUCGAUACCGUGCUACACGAUAUCUAGAUCAAUAUGCCGAUGUAGAUUAGAUUUUGUUAUAGAGAGAUGAACCGGGAUAGCUGGAAGAAGAUAUAAUGAGACCACUGGCUUCAUUUCCCUGGUCAACCAUCCUGAGCUUUUCUGUUAUGACAUGGAUCUUGCUCUCACAGCAAGUGUUGCAGCUAAAGUGAGAGGCAAAGAACUGCACGGGAAUGGGCGCGCGGGCGGUUGGGUCGCUUUAAAUGGCCGGGAAGGUGACGCCCCUCUGCCCACUCAGACGCACGCCCUGCAUCCACCCCGCCGCCCAAGAGAGGCUAUUGUUGCAGACGAUCAAACUGACUCUUGAGUGGAUCUUGAUGGGUUCCCAUUGAAAGAAUCUUGAUGUGCUAGGUUAAUGAAUCUGUAAAGGAAACCGAGGAUUCCAAACUGCAUCUCGGGGAGACGGAAACCCGAAACAAGAUUUGUGAUGCUGAUUUCACUUAUGUCCUCUGAGAGUGUUAGUAAUGAGCCUGACCUAUGGCUUUGGUUUAUACAAGUGGUGGAUGUUCAUAUCAAGCUAGUCUCUUUGGCCUCAUGAGGCUGUCUACAAUGACAACUAUUGUCUUUUGCCAGACAAUGCGAAAGUCCCUCUAUGACAUGGUUUCUUAUUCUUUGGUUAAACAGGAGUAUCUUAGAAUCAGGCUAUGUUGCUCUUAUCAUAUUCAACAAUGUUAUUUGCAAGAGUAGCUUCACAUCAUGGCAAAGCAUCCUUGUUCUUGAGCCAAUGAAGGACUUGUGUCACUCCAGCCAACAAAUCAGCAGCAUCCCUCCUCAGUAUAUACCAAUUUGUAAAGAACUUGUGGAAGGCAUUAUCUGGAUUUAGUAUUUCUUAUUGUCUAAUGAUGAUUUAGAUAAUAAUGAUGGUAAAUUUUAUAA